UAUAUUUCAGUUGGUGUAUGUAUCAUUUCAACACAAAGGUAUAUCACAAGUAAGAAAAAAAAACAGAUUCCUUGAACAUCUCUUUCACUGCCAAAACUUUAAGGAAUAGAAAGCCAGUGUCAGUAGGAAAGGUUUUAUACAUUCACGGGUGGAAGCGUUUACAUUUUGUUUGUGGUCAGAGAAGGCCCAAAUAGGAAAUUUAGUGUAGAGUGCUACCUUAAGCUUCUACUCGGAGGAUUCACCCUCAAUUUUGUAUCACGCAUGUGUUCAACAUAGCCACGAUAGUGGAUAUUAUGACGUAGCACCGCAGUCUUGGAUCUACACUCUGUGGACAGUACAGAAUAUAUCUUUCUGCUUUGGAUAAGUCACAUCUAGAGAUGGUGACGUAGAGACCCCACAUCCACAGUCCUGGAUCUACACUCUGUGGACAGUACAGAAUAUAUCUUUCUGCUUUGGACAAGUCACAUCUAGAGAUUGUGACGUAGAGACCCCAUAUCCACAGUCCUGGAUAUACAUUCUGUGGACAGUACAGAAUCGAUCUUUCUGCUUUGAAGUGUCACAUCUCAAGCAUCAGUGAAUAUUUGUUUGAGUUAUGCCACCGGGGAAAAGUGCUUUCAACAGGACAUAAGAAACGUGACAUCAUAGUCCAUAUUGUGACAGUCAAGUUUAAUAAUGAUUCACAGAAAAACAGACAAGUUGGGUUUCUGAUGUCUUCAUUUCUCCAGAUAAUUGGAUUCUUAAACUUAACAGCCAGAAAUGGAAAAUCCAUGUUGUUUUAAGGAAAGUAAAGCAACAAGAAAAUCAUCUACAAGAGCCUAUGAAACAAAACAAAAUUGUGACAGGCAUAUGUGCAAGGGAGGCAACUUUAAUUCAGAUUUUUUGACCAGCUUGUCAACAAAGUAACUGAAAAAG